rnacentral:rRNA from 1 species
CCUACGGGAGGCAGCAGUAGGGAAUUUUCCACAAUGGGCGAAAGCCUGAUGGAGCAACGCCGCGUGGGUGAAGAAGGUCUUCGGAUCGUAAAACCCUGUUGUUAGAGAAGAAAGUGCGUGAGAGUAACGGUUCACGUUUCGACGGUAUCGAACCAGAAAGCCACGGCUAACUACGGGCCAGCAUCCGCGGGAAGACGUAGGUGGCAAGCGUUAUCCGGAUUUAUUGGGCGUAAAGGGAACGCAGGCGGUCUUUUAAGUCUGAGGUGAAAGCCUUCGGCUUAACCGGAGUAGUGCAUUGGAAACUGGGAGACUUGAGUGCAGACGAGGAGAUUCGACCUCCCUUUGUAGCGGUUACAUGCGUAGCUAUAUG